rnacentral:rRNA from 1 species
GAUGAACGCUGGCGGCGUGCUUAACACAUGCAAGUCGAACGAAGCACUUCAAUCGAUUUCUUCGGAAUGAAGUUUUAGUGACUGAGUGGCGGACGGGUGAGUAACGCGUGGGUAACCUGCCUCACACAGGGGGAUAACAGUUGGAAACGGCUGCUAAUACCGCAUAAGCGCACAGUACCGCAUGGUACAGUGCGAAAAACUCCGGUGGUGUGAGAUGGACCCGCGUCUGAUUAGCUAGUUGGCAGGGCAACGGCCUACCAAGGCGACGAUCAGUAGCCGACCUGAGAGGGUGACCGGCCACAUUGGGACUGAGACAGGCCCAAACUCCUACGGAGCAGCAGNGGGAAUAUUGGCACAAAUGGGGGAAACCCUGAUGCAGCGACGCCGCGUGAGCGAAG